CGCCUGUUUAUCAAAAACAUCUUUUCUUGUUAGUUUUUGAAGUAUGGCCUGCCCGCUGACUUUGGUGUUGAAGGGCCGCGGUAUUUUGACCGUGCAAAGGUAGCAUAGUCAUUAGUUCUUUAAUUGUGAUCUGGUAUGAAUGGCUUGACGAGGCAUGGGCUGUCUUAAUUUUAAAUUGCUUAUUGAAUUUGGUCUUUGAGUUAAAAUUCUUAGAUGUUUUUAUGGGACGAGAAGACCCUAUAGAGUUUGACAUUUAUUAUGGUCUUUAUUUGUUUGUGAGGGUUCACUGGGCCAUUUAAUAUGUUUUGUUGGGGUGAUGGGAGGGAUAUNGUUUAACCCCUCCUUUGUGUUGUUAUAUUUAUUUAUAUUUGUUUGAUCCAUUUAUUUUGAUUGUAAGAUUAAAUUACCUUAGGGAUAACAGCGUAA
rnacentral:rRNA from 1 species